rnacentral:rRNA from 1 species
GAUCCUGGCUCAGAAUCAACGCUGGCGGCGUGCCUAACACAUGCAAGUCGAACGCGAAAGGGGCUUCGGCCCUGAGUAGAGUGGCGAACGGGUGAGUAACACGUGGGUGAUCUACCUUCGAGUGGGGGAUAACGUCCCGAAAGGGACGCUAAUACCGCAUGACGUUCCGGGUUUAAAGACCUGGAAACCAAAGCCGGGGACCGCAAGGCCUGGCGCUUGAAGAGGAGCCCGCGUCCGAUUAGCUAGUUGGCGGGGUAAUGGCCCACCAAGGCGACGAUCGGUAGCCGGCCUGAGAGGGCGGACGGCCACACUGGAACUGAGACACGGUCCAGACUCCUACGGGAGGCAGCAGUGGGGAAUUGUUCACAAUGGGCGCAAGCCUGAUGACGCAACGCCGCGUGGGGGAUGAAGGUCUUCGGAUUGUAAACCCCUGUCGAAUGGGACGAAAGACCCGGGAGCUAAUCAUCCUGGGAGUGACGGUACCGUUAAAGGAAGCCACGGCUAACUCUGUGCCAGCAGCCGCGGUAAUACAGAGGUGGCAAGCGUUGUUCGGAAUUACUGGGCGUAAAGGGCGCGUAGGCGGCCAUCUAAGUCAGACGUGAAAUCCCCCGGCUUAACCUGGGAACUGCGUCUGAUACUGGACGGCUCGAGUAUGGGAGAGGGAUGUAGAAUUCCAGGUGUAGCGGUGAA